rnacentral:ribozyme from 1 species
GCUGCUCGAAAUUUUACACACCUCUUCGUGGUGAGCAGCAGGCAACGAUCUAUUAUGAUCGGCUAAGUGUGAGA